GGCAGAGAUGCCUUAGUGCCUUCGGGAACCGUGAGACAGGUGCUGCAUGGCUGUCGUCAGCUCGUGUUGUGAAAUGUUGGGUUAAGUCCCGCAACGAGCGCAACCCUUAUCCUUUGUUGCCAGCGGUYMGGCCGGGAACUCAAAGGAGACUGCCAGUGAUAAACUGGAGGAAGGUGGGGAUGACGUCAAGUCAUCAUGGCCCUUACGACCAGGGCUACACACGUGCUACAAUGGCGCAUACAAAGAGAAGCGACCUCGCGAGAGCAAGCGGACCUCAUAAAGUGCGUCGUAGUCCGGAUUGGAGUCUGCAACUCGACUCCAUGAAGUCGGAAUCGCUAGUAAUCGUGGAUC
rnacentral:rRNA from 1 species